GCCCGUUUAGCUCAGUCGGUAGAGCACGAGACUCUUAAUCUCGGGAUCGUGGGUUCGAACCCUACGUAGGGCG
rnacentral:tRNA from 1 species